AGAAUCAACGCUGGCGGCGUGCCUAACACAUGCAAGUCGAACGAGAAAGGGGAGCAAUCCCUGAGUAAAGUGGCGCACGGGUGAGUAACACGUGACUAACCUACCCUGGAGUGGGGGAUAACUGAGGGAAACCUUAGCUAAUACCGCAUAACACCUACGGGUCAAAGGAGCAAUUCGCUUUGGGAGGGGUCGCGGCCGAUUAGUUAGUUGGCGGGGUAAUGGCCCACCAAGACAGUGAUCGGUAUCCGG
rnacentral:rRNA from 1 species